GAGGUUGUUAAGAGUAUUAAUGAGUAGUUAGAGGUUGUUGAGAGUAUUAAUGAGUAGUUAGAGGUUGUUAAGAGUAUUAAUGAGUAGUUAGAGGUUGUUAAGAGUAUUAAUGAGUAGUUAGAGGUUGUUGAGAGUAUUAAUGAGUAGUUAGAGGUUGUUGAGAGUAUUAAUGAGUAGUUAGAGGUUGUUGAGAGUAUUAAUGAGUAGUUAGAGGUUGUUGAGAGUAUUAAUGAGUAGUUAGAGGUUGUUGAGAGUAUUUAAUGAGUAGUUAGAGGUUGUUAAGAGUAUUAAUGAGUAGUUAGAGGUUGUUGAGAGUAUUAAUGAGUAGUUAGAGGUUGUUGAGAGUAUUUAAUGAAUAGUUAGAGGUUGUUGAGAGUAUUAAUGAGUAGUUAAUGAACCUAGUGAUAGUGUGACAAGGCUUCUGCAACAUGAACGUGGAAAAAAAAAAAUCCGAUUAAUCUCAUUUGUGGUCUUGUUAACUUUUGAUGUGAGCGCGGAAAGCAUUUGGGUGUAAGGACCUGAAUCACUGGAGGCUGUAAAAAAAAAAAAAAAAA